GGGGGUGACAGGCUUCGACCCAGACAAGCAAGCGAAGGGCAGCAUGCAGAGGUUGCUAGGAGGCCUCUUUAAACACCUGGCAAAAGAUCAAAUGCUGACAACCUAAAAGUGCCAGCAACGGUUGACCAGCUUCUGGCUACCAUGAAAGUGGUACCGGGACCGGUCAUGCCGGCAGCGUUACCUUUAUAAGGUAACCCGUCAACUGAUCAGUUCCUGCGGGAUCAGAUUGGCGCCGAUAGCAGGAUAGUCGGAUACGCCCCUCCUUUGGUGUUUCCGAUGAAAUUUCUUGAGGAUACCGAUUCGGGAUUUCGACCCUUAAAGCCCGAUGAGGGAAACUAAAGAUGGGGAUAAGCAUGUAGAUACUCUUGGUUUGAGGUUUGGGGACGCGGGUUCGAUUCCCGCCACCUCCACCA
rnacentral:tmRNA from 1 species